CUACGGGGGGCACCAGGGAAGAAUAUUGUACAAUGGGGGCAACCCUGAUACAGCAACGCCGCGUGAAGGAAGAAGGCCUUCGGGUUGUAAACUUCUGUGACAGAGGACGAAGAAGAUGACGGUACUCUGAGAGGAAGCUCCGGCAAACUACGUGCCAGCAGCCGCGGUAAUACGUAGGGGGCGAGCGUUGUCCGGAAUCACUGGGCGUAAAGGGCGCGUAGGCGGCCAUAUAAGUUGAAUGUGAAAUCCCAGGGCUCAACCCUGGACGUGCAUUCAAAACUGUAUGGCUUGAGUAUGGUAGAGGUAAGUGGAAUUCCUAGUGUAGCGGUGGAAUGCGUAGAUAUUAGGAGGAACACCAGUGGCGAAGGCGACUUACUGGGCCAAAACUGACGCUGAGGCGCGAAAGCGUGGGGAGCAAACAGGAUUAGAUACCCGCGUAGUC
rnacentral:rRNA from 1 species